rnacentral:lncRNA from 1 species
AGUAUACCGAAACGGUUGUCCAGGGUUCCAACCUACCCGACCGAGCCCAGUCCUGGCUCGAGUAGGUCAGUAACCGAGGCAGGGCCCAAGUUCAGCUUAGAGCUUACAACAUGCACAAGUAAUCAAGUAAUUCGGCAAAAGGUAAAAUUCAUCAUUUGAGUAGGUCGAGUGAGGUAAAGUAUACACUCGCCUAACAAUGAUGGACAACUUCAUAUAACAUGCGAUUCAUGAUAAUCAAGUGAUCAAGUAAGUUGGUGAUCACGUAAGCAGAUAAUCAAGUAAGCAAGUAGCCGAAUGGAUUAGAAAACGGUAAGUAAACACGGUAAACGGUAAACGGUGGUAAUUACGGUUAAUUGGCAGACAUAUGUCAUUUUAAUAGGCCACCAUUGGCCGAUUUUCACUUUUUCCACAUAAGGGUCGAGGAGAUUCACUCCAACCGACUUAUGCUGUCAUAGCAUAAUUAAUCAUUUAAACACAUCAUGUAGAUAUGCUCUCCAAACAUUUCAUAUCUAGUAUUUCAAGUAAUCACAUAAAUAUGCUCUUUAAGCAUUUCAUAUCGAAUAGUUCAAAUAUACAUAUUUCAGGUAUUUCAUGUCAAGUAAUUCAAGUAUACCUUAUUCAGAUAUGCAUGAGUGUGGUAAAUACUUAACAUAUAGCACUUAACACUUAAUAAUCAUGGGUUAUGCAUGUCAUAGACUUAUUCCAAUUACGUAUUCCUAUAUGGAACACUCACCUAUAGCAACAAGAGAGUAAUACUCAAACAAGUGUCUAGGCGUCCACUUCGAGUUCUUCUUGAAGGUCCCC